rnacentral:rRNA from 1 species
UACGUAGGGGGCUAGCGUUGUCCGGAAUCAUUGGGCGUAAAGCGCGUGUAGGCGGCCCGGUAAGUCCGCUGUGAAAGUCGGGGGCUCAACCCUCGGAUGCCGGUGGAUACUGUCGGGCUAGAGUGCGGAAGAGGCGAGUGGAAUUCCUGGUGUAGCGGUGAAAUGCGCAGAUAUCAGGAGGAACACCUAUAGCGAAGGCAGCUUGCUGGGACGUUACUGACGCUAAGGCGCGAAAGCGUGGGGAGCGAACAGG